UCCGCCUGCGCCCCAUCCUCCAUCCUCGCUCCCGAAAUUACCACCCGCCCCAUCCUCAUCGUGUGCAUGAACAACACCAGUCCGCCGGAUCCCCUCCACGUGCAGCCUCCUCCGGCAAGGAUGCCUCCUCCGCCGCGGCGGACCGGGAGCAACCGUCGGCCCCCGCCACCACCAAGAUGGCCACCACCAGGGAUCCACGCGGGGAAGAUGGAUCUGGGCAGUAGCGGCCUAGAUCUACGCAAAUCACGGAUUCUCCUCCCACCGUGGCACAAAUUGUCCAGAAUCCUCGCCUAGAUCUGCUAAUCGCGCUCCUUCUCCCCCUUCGGAUCCCUCUCCAAUCCAAUCCGAGCCGACCACGAACACAUUCCAUGGUGGUGAGCUAGCAAGCCUUUGAUGGUGGCCGAUGGGCGUGGAAGUGGGGCCAGCACAGCCUUCUCGGCCACCACCGCGCCGGAUCAGGCGAUCGCCGCACGGGCUUGCCUUCUCCUCCUCCCGCGUCGCUCUGCUCCCUGGUAGCGGACCUGACCAGGCCUUCAUCGUCGUCGGGGACGUCCACGGCCAGCUCCACGACGUCAUCUUCCUGCUCCGAGACGCCGGGUUCCCCUCCGAGGAGCGGCUCUUCUCCGUCGCCGCCAGCCUGCCCUCCUGCCGCUGCGCGAAAAUCUUGCCCGCCCUCCAUUGCGCUGUUGCCAAUUUGUUUCUCAGAAUCGACCGUGGACUUAUCCUCCACCACCUCCCGCCGCGCAGCCUCGUCGCAUCGCAGUGCGUAUGCAAGGCGUGGCCGCCAUCGUCGACGGCCGCCGGCUGCUGCUCAAAUCCUCUCAAUCCUGGAAGAUAUUUGAUUGCUUUGAUGUUGAUCCUAUUGGAUCCGCUUUGAUAGUUGGUGGGACUUCGUCGAUCUCCCCAUCUUCCGUUGUGACGCGAUCGCUCCCCGGUGAUCUACUCUUCUCCUCCCAUUCGAUUCCACUCUUACACCACCCAAACCACCUCGAUGGCGUCUAUUGUGUUUGUUCUCCCGCAACUCAUGGCUACAACAGUUCCAAGAUUAAUCCCCGUAGAGUACUCCUACAUUGCUCCAAAAUAUCAUUGAAUCAAUCUUACAAUCCCCGCAUAGUACUCCUUACGAGUGUUUAUAUUGCCUUUGACAUGAUUGGUGAAAUGUCUCAAAUGGCCAUUAACAUGAAGAGACUUUAUAUGGGAGGGCGAGGUGCUUUGGUUAUUGGAUGACCUUCGAAGGAAUUGGGAGCAGGGAGGUGUGGGAAAGGGGUGAACCGAGUGGUCGACAUCGGCUACGACGAACCAGCGGAGCAGCAACGGAGCACCGGCCGCGGCAGCACCCCAUGGAAAGGGGAAAGGCAAGGUCGCCGAGCUUGAGUAGGAGGUUUGGCCCAAUCUUUGCCGUUUUGUCCAGUCGUUGCAGCUUCUGAAUCUGAUUUGGGGCUAUGGUGGUUAGCUGGCAAGCCUUCGAUGGUUAAGUCACAACGGUGGUUUAUUAUUGUCUCCAUGUCCAGUGAUUAACUUAUACUUGCAUGUUCUGUGUUUUAGUUUACUGGGUUCUGAAAGCAGCAACAGGGUUUUUUUGACUUGGUACUAUGAUUCUAGUGAAGGGAGCUUGGUUUGAUAACAUGUGUGUUCUCUUGGCUUGUGGAGUUGCAGGGAGGGCGAGGUGCUUCGGUUCUUGGAUGACCUUCGAAGGAAUUGGGAGCAAGGAGGCGUGGGAAAGGGGUGAACCGAGUGGUCGACAUCGGCUACAGCGAACCAGUGGAGCAGCAACGGAGCACUGGCCACGGCAGCACCCCAUGGAAAGGGGAAAGGCAAGGUCGCCGAGCUUGAGUAGGAGGCUUUUGAUGAAGCCAUCUCGAAGCUGGACACCCUGAGCGAGGAGUCCUACAUGACACCACUUUGAUCAUGCAACUCCUUCAUGAACACUUGAUCCUCUGGACUUCCGAUAUCUCAGUAAUCUUCCAUUUCUCAAACAUAAAGUUCUGCUCACACUCUUUACUUUAUCCUGAAAUCAUCCCGAUUCCUUAAAAGGGUUUUCUGCUCACACUCUUUAGCACCUUGACCCUGUUUUCAGUCCGACAAUACCUCAAUAUUCUUUU